rnacentral:rRNA from 1 species
GGGAUAACACCUGGAAACAGAUGCUAAUACCGGAUAACAACACUAGACGCAUGUCUAGAGUUUGAAAGAUGGUUCUGCUAUCACUCUUGGAUGGACCUGCGGUGCAUUAGCUAGUUGGUAAGGUAACGGCUUACCAAGGCAAUGAUGCAUAGCCGAGUUGAGAGACUGAUCGGCCACAUUGGGACUGAGACACGGCCCAAACUCCUACGGGAGGCAGCAGUAGGGAAUCUUCCACAAUGGACGAAAGUCUGAUGGGGCAACGCCGCGUGAGUGAAGAAGGGUUUCGGCUCGUAAAGCUCUGUUGGUAGUGAAGAAAGAUAGAGGUAGUAACUGGCCUUUAUUUGACGGUAAUUACUUAGAAAGUCACGGCUAACUACGUGCCAGCAGCCGCGGUAAUACGUAGGUGGCAAGCGUUGUCCGGAUUUAUUGGGCGUAAAGCGAGUGCAGGCGGUUCAAUAAGUCUGAUGUGAAAGCCUUCGGCUCAACCGGAGAAUUGCAUCAGAAACUGUUGAACUUGAGUGCAGAAGAGGAGAGUGGAACUCCAUGUGUAGCGGUGGAAUGCGUAGAUAUAUGGAAGAACACCAGUGGCGAAGGCGGCUCUCUGGUCUGCAACUGACGCUGAGGCUCGAAAGCAUGGGUAGCGAACAGGAUUAGAUACCCUGGUAGUCCAUGCCGUAAACGAUGAGUAAUAAGUGUUGGGA